UUGCUUCAGCAGCACAUAUACUAAAAUUGGAACAAUACAGAGAAAAUUAUCAUGAUCCCUGCAGAAGGAUGACAUACAAAUAAGCCAAGUGAUUAUAAAAUAG
ensembl:snRNA U6 U6 spliceosomal RNA